ensembl:lncRNA
CGCCUUCAGAACCUCGAUUCGCGGACAAGGACAAACUCCCCUUUGUCGCCAUGACGACACGAUACACAACUAAGCAUCUGCCACAUCUUAAAUUGACGACGUGCCGCGUUGCCCACAGUCUAAAAGAUUUACUGCCAGAAGCAAGCUGCUGCCCGUUGACACCUGAUGGAUCGCUACAGUGAGGAUGAAUAUAUUGCUGUGAUCAUUCAUCUUGCCAAAUGUGACACAUCAGCACAACAGAGCAUAACUCAAGGUUGAUAAAUAUCCUGGUAUCGCUGGCUGUUGGAUCACACUAUGAAGCCAUUAAUCGUGGCAGACCUGUGCCCUGCUGCUGCCCGUGGUGAAUGCAGAGCACCAGCGACGCUGGGCAGCAGAUGCAGUGGUCCGAGCUCACGACCCCUGAGAUGCCAUGCCUCUGGGUCAAAUAAGAAGUAGGCAUCACAGGAGGAGCUGCUCUGCACUAAACGCGUGGCUUUCUGUCCGCAGGGGGAACGCUCGGCCCUCUAACAUCGGUCUUUACCCGACGCUUUGGAGAACCAAGCAGCCGGAGGCUGUGGAGAGGAGCGAAGCAAACUACACCCAACUUCAGGGAAUAGGCAUUAUUCUAAGUGUCCUUUUUUGCAUUGUUUUCCAUUGCAUGAGCGGGAAAUGGCAGGGCACAAGCAGGUAGCCUGAAUGACUGAACAUAAAGAGCCUGCAGCCUGAUAUUACAUUAUAUUCAUACUUAAAAUGAUGAGAGGCUCAAAGCAGACCAGUGCACACCUGCCUUUUUUAUUAUGUGAUUUCAACCAAAAUGGAACAAGCCUCCAGAGCUGCUAAUUCCGAAAGCCUGACAGGUAGUGAUGCUCCAGUCAGGGCUCCUUGAUAUCGCACCGUGUUAUACGAGGCAAUCCACACAAAAAUAUGCUUUGAUUAAACCAGCGGACCGC